rnacentral:rRNA from 1 species
GACGAACGCUGGCGGCGUGCCUAAUACAUGCAAGUCGAGCGCAGGAAGCCGUCUGAACCCUUCGGGGGGACGACGGUGGAAUGAGCGGCGGACGGGUGAGUAACACGUAAAGAACCUGCCCAUAGGUCUGGGAUAACCACGAGAAAUCGGGGCUAAUACCGGAUGUGUCAUCGGACCGCAUGGGCCGCUGAUGAAAGGCGCUCCGGCGUCGCCCAUGGAUGGCUUUGCGGUGCAUUAGCUAGUUGGUGGGGUAACGGCCCACCAAGGCAACGAUGCAUAGCCGACCUGAGAGGGUGAUCGGCCACACUGGGACUGAGACACGGCCCAGACUCCUACGGGAGGCAGCAGUAGGGAAUCUUCCACAAUGGACGAAAGUCUGAUGGAGCAACGCCGCGUGAACGAUGAAGGCUUUCGGGUCGUAAAGUUCUGUUGUAAGGGAAGAACAAGUGCCGCAGGCAAUGGCGGCACCUUGACGGUACCUUGCGAGAAAGCCACGGCUAACUACGUGCCAGCCGCCGCAGUAAUAC